rnacentral:misc_RNA from 1 species
GAUGAAGAACGUAGCGAAAUGCGAUACUUGGUGUGAAUUGCAGAAUCCCGUGAACCAUCGAGUCUUUGAACGCAAGUUGCGCCCGAAGCCAUUAGGCCGAGGGCACGCCUGCCUGGGCGUCACACGUCGUUGCCCCCCCCCAUCUACUCCUUCGGGAUUGCGGGGGGCGGAUGAUGGCCUCCCGUGCGCCUCGCCGCGCGGUUGGCAUAAAUGCCAAGUCCUCGGCGACGCACGCCACGACAAUCGGUGGUUGCGAAACCUCGGUUGCCCGUCGUGUGCGGUCGUCGCGCAUCGAGGGCUCGAAAAAAUUGCCGAGUUCCGGCUCGGCUUUCAACGCGACCCCAGGUCAGGCGGGGUUACCCGCUGAAUUUAAGCAUAUAAUAAGCGGAGGA